AUUGAACGCUGGCGGCAUGCCUUACACAUGCAAGUCGAACGGUAACGGGCCUUCGGGUGCCGACGAGUGGCGAACGGGUGAGUAAUGCAUCGGAACGUACCUUUCAGUGGGGGAUAACGUAGCGAAAGUUACGCUAAUACCGCAUAUUCUGUGAGCAGGAAAGCAGGGGAUCGCAAGACCUUGCGCUGAUUGAGCGGCCGAUGUCAGAUUAGCUAGUUGGUGAGGUAAAGGCUCACCAAGGCGACGAUCUGUAGCGGGUCUGAGAGGAUGAUCCGCCACACUGGAACUGAGACACGGUCCAGACUCCUACGGGAGGCAGCAGUGGGGAAUUUUGGACAAAUGGGGGCAACCCUGAUCCAGCCAUGCCGCGUGAGUGAAGAAGGCCU
rnacentral:rRNA from 1 species